ensembl:snoRNA SNORA63 Small nucleolar RNA SNORA63
AAGCAGGAUUCAGACUACAGCAUGGCUGUAAAGUGCUGUGCUGUCGUUCCCCCUGCUCAAAAUAAAGUUGUUUCUUAACUAUACCUGUCUGCCAUGCCUGUGUAGCAGCCAGGGACGCUUGGUCUCAUACAU